rnacentral:rRNA from 1 species
AAUGAACGCUGGCGGCAGGCCUAACACAUGCAAGUCGAACGAGUGGAGGACGGGUGAGUAAUUUCUGGGAAACUGCCCGAUGGAGGGAGAUAACUACUAGAACCGGUAGCUAAUACCGCAUAACAUCGGUUGUGCCCAGGUGGGAGUAGCUAGUGGGUGGGGUAAUGGCUCACCAAGGCGACGAUGCCUAGCUGGUCUGAGAGGGUGAACGGCCACACUGGGACUGAGACACGGCCCAGACUCCUACGGGAGGCAGCAGUAGGGAAUCUUCGGCAAUGGACGAAAGUCUGAUCCAGCAAUGCCGCGUGUGUGAAGAAGGUUUUCGGAUCGUAAAGUACUGUUGGUGGAGAAGCGUUAUCUAAAGAAAAAGCACCGGCUAACUACGUGCCAGCAGCCGCGGUAAUAC